rnacentral:rRNA from 1 species
UUCCCCCGGGGUUACGGGGGCAACGAUCAGCUGCUGCAUGCCUAAACCGUGCAGUUCACAGAUCAAACGCGAGUGGCCUGCGCCCGCAGGUUGAGAUAUGACCGUAGCAGCUCUGC